rnacentral:lncRNA from 1 species
AUGUCACUGUCCUGCUCAGAAAGCUUUGGUAGCUUCCCGGCCCACCAGAAUGGGUCUGGCCCCUUCUUCACACUCUCAUCACACCUCUGGGUCUCGGUCAGCCCCACGCCCUCGGCUCCAAGGGCAACUGCCUGGCAGGCCUCUCCUCCAGCUCUUCCGAUCUUACUGAGGACUUAUAAGGAGGUAACUUUAAUUCAGCAGGAGAGAUGCAAACUGUCUGUCAAGUUCUCCAACUACGAGUUGUGAAAUAUUUCAAACACACAGUAAGAGUCUGAUAAGUAGAGGUACUUGUGACGACAUAAUUUGUGUGGCACCUAUUUCACUUGGGGAAUUAGAUGCUAAGAGACUUUUCACAAUCCAUUUUAUAUCCACUGAUGAUCAAUCAUACCUCCUGUUUUCUGUCUUAGGAUAUAAACAGGAAUUUCAGGUGAGAGAAAUUUCAAGGUGAAAAAAAAAGAUGAACGGAUCCAUAGGUAGACAGAUAGAUAGGCAGACGAGAGAGAACUAUUUCAACACCAACCCCCACCAAAGUCUCUGCACCUUUGUUGAAAACUUUUUUUAUUGCAGUGUCAUUGCUUUACAUGCUGUAUUAGUCCGAGAGCACGCGAUGUGAUUCCGUUUUCUCUGUAUAUCGUCUUCACACUCUCCUCCCUGGUAGGUCAUUACAAGACACUGAGUAGAGCUUCCUGUGCUCGACACGAGGUCUUGGUUGGUUAUCUACUUCGUAAAGAGCAGGCCUAUAUUUUACUCCUAAACUCCUAAUUUAUCCCUCCCUCCUCCCCUUUAGGAACUAUAAGUUUGUUUUCCAUGUCUGAGUCUACUUCUGCUGUGUAUAAAAGUUCAUUUGUAUUACUUUUUUAGAUUCCACAUAUAAGUGAUAUCAUAUGAUACUGGUGUUUCUCUGACUGACUUACUUCACUUAGUAUAAGAGUCUCUAGGUCCAUCCAUGUUGCUGCAAAUGGCAGUAUUUCAUUCUUUUUUAUGGCUGAGUAAUAGUCCAGUGUGUGUAUAUACCAUAAAGUCUCCAUACCUUUUCAAAUCAACCCUAUUAAUAAAAGAUUAUUUGAACACA